rnacentral:rRNA from 1 species
UACGUAGGGGGCAAGCGUUGUCCGGAUUUAUUGGGCGUAAAGAGCCUCGUAGGCGGUUUGGUAAGUCGGAUGUGAAAUCCCGAGGCUCAACCUCGGGUCUGCAGUCGAUACGAGCAAACUAGAGUGUUGCAGGGGAGACUGGAAUUCCUGGUGUAGCGGUGAAAUGCGCAGAUAUCAGGAGGAACACCGGUGGCGAAGGCGGGUCUCUGGGCAACAACUGACGCUGAGGAGCGAAAGCGUGGGGAGCGAACAGG